rnacentral:rRNA from 1 species
AAACUAACAAGGAUUCCCCUAGUAACGGCGAGUGAACCGGGAAGAGCUCAAAUUUGAAAUCUGGCGUGCUCAGUGCGUCCGAGUUGUAAUCUAUAGAGGCGUUUUCCGUGCCGGACUGUGUCUAAGUCCCUUGGAACAGGGUAUCAAAGAGGGUGAUAAUCCCGUACUUGACACAAUGACCGGUGCUCUGUGAUACGUCUUCUACGAGUCGAGUUGUUUGGGAAUGCAGCUCAAAAUGGGUGGUGAGUUCCAUCUAAAGCUAAAUAUUGGCGAGAGACCGAUAGCGAACAAGUACCGUGAGGGAAAGAUGAAAAGCACUUUGGAAAGAGAGUUAAACAGUACGUGAAAUUGUUGAAAGGGAAACGAUUGAAGUCAGUCGUGACUGAGAGGCUCAGCCGGUUCUGCCGGUGUAUUCCCCUCAGUCGGGUCAACAUCAGUUUUGUUCGGUGGAUAAGGGCAGCUGGAAGGUGGCACCUCCGGGUGUGUUAUAGCCAGCUGUCGCAUACAUCGAAUGAGACUGAGGAAUGCAGCUCGCCUUUAUGGCCGGGGUUCGCCCACGUCCGAGCUUAGGAUGUUGACAUAAUGGCUUUAAACGA